GGCRUGGRAUUCCUGUGYCUUGCAAGUAGUGAAAAGACCUGGACGACUGUCAGUGACGCCUGGUUGUUUUUGUUGUCUAAAAAAAAGGAUUCCCCUUGCYGUUGCUAAAGAGAGAAAUACUGGACUAAUACAGCAAAAAAUGAAGUCUUAACUUCUAAUAUUAUCGAAGACACCUGAUUUUAUUCUGAAGUGAACUUUAAAGAKUGACAAGUAACAAGAAUGUURGAAGCCGUUGUACAGUCAAUCUUUGAACCAGGUGUGAACUCUCAACUACUUACAGUGGUCAAUAUCACUUUUGUUUGCUUGAUUCUCGUUGGAUUUGGACUGAUUCUCAUUGCUGGAUUUAACAUACACAUAUUUGUGCURCUUUCAUUAAGCUCGGGGCUACUUUUAUCUGUAAACUGGUUCGUAAGAGAGCUAUGGAAAGAAAAGCAAGACCAGGAUAUUUCAGAGAAAUCAAAAUAGACAAUAUUGUGAACUAAAAGCCUGAAAUAUUUUAUGAAAAAUAAGCAUUUUCACAGAAAAGAAGAUAGACUAAUAGUACAUGAAAAUACUGUUGCAUAUUGUUAUAUUUYAUAUAAUGUAAUAAUAAUAUGAAUAAAGUAAUGGACAUUA